AUGCAGCAUAACUACCCAAAGGUGAGCGUGCAUUAAUCUGGAGAGCCUCGAGGCGCGAAAAAGUUUGAAUUUCUCUUCAUUUGGCAGAGCAGCUAUGGUGAAGAAGACAUCCCAGAAGAAUCCGUGAGGCCACAGGAGAGUAAGCUAAAAGACAACAAUACCACCCAACAGUGAAGGUAACUGUUUGAA